UCCGCAGUUGAAACCCUACUUUUCCGCCGCAUUCCCAAAAUUCACAUUUUCCUACUUCCUCAAACACCAAAAUGAGGCUAUUACUCUUUACCUUGUAAGGAUAAAGUCUGCGCGCACACUAACCUCCUAAACCUACUUGUGGGAUCAUACUUGGUAUGUUGCUGCACUUUCUUCUCUAUGGUGGUAGGGGCUGUUUGGUUGCUGUUUA